rnacentral:tRNA from 1 species
ACUUAUAUAGUAUAUAAAUUAUACUUGACUUCCAAUCAAGAGAACUAAAAUCUAGUAUAAGUA